rnacentral:lncRNA from 1 species
UUUGGGCAUCAACACUAUAACAACCUUAAUCAAGUGAUAACAUAUAUCAGUCUGAUGACUUGUUAAAAAACACAAGAAUGUAACUUUAUACAUCAACAAACUUCAAACUAAACAUAUAUCCUCCUCAACAUAGAAUCUAAAACCUUCAUAUCACAACCUAAAGAUUCACCAUUGUUGCUGCUUUCACCUUCCUAGACUUAACCAAACCCUGCACAAAAGCAUCCACAAUCUGCUUCUGCGACUCGAUCAUCAACUCGUUUCGCUUCAUCUCCGUCUCCAUUCGCAUCUCUUCAAUCUCCCGAGCCAUAUCCAUCUUCAUCUUCUCCACCUUCAUAAACCCUUCUCCUAACAACCGUAUCGACGACACCACUUCCCCUACCCCACCAUCCUUCCUCUUCCCUUUCUUCCCAUUUUUCCCAUUCACAUUCUUCCCAUUCGAACUGGAAUUGUUUUCGUUUCGCCAUUUUCCCCUUAACACAUUCGUACUCCUCGGAACUUUCACCCACAUUUCAUCAUCAUCAUCACCACCGUCAUCAUGAUCAUGAACAACCUUGCUGAAUUUUCUUGGGCGAAGACCGGGUCGCCCGGAUUCUUCAUGAGGCGGGAUCGGAGUGUUCACGGGUUUGCUCCUAACCCCGCCUCCAAUCGACGGUUUUUUGUGAUUUUUCGCUUCUCGAAUUAGGGUUUCUCUGCCUCUGUAUGUAGAUGAAAUUAGGGGUUCUUCAAUUGGGGCUUCUGUUACUGACCGUUGUGCAUAAUCAUCAACAUUGUGUGAAUUGUAAUUGGGGUACGAAUUGUAACGAUUUGAGGUUCCAGAAUUGAAAUUAGGGUUAGGGUUUGGUUUGGUUCUCUGUUUGGUGGAAAUUGGGGCUAAAGUAGCAAACUUUUGAACAGCUAAAGGUUUGACUUGAAUUCCUUGACCCGGAUCCGGAUUAUUACCGGGUUCGGAGCUGGAUCCGGGUCCGUUUUCCAUGGCUUCCAUAGCUUCGUAAUAAAACCAGGUGGAGAAAAACCGUUCACCGGGGAAAGCGGAGGCGCGUUGCUUCUCGGCACGGUGGCGUUGGCGGAGCUUCUCCAUCUUGUGGCGGCACUGAGCGGAGGUUUUCGGCGGUGUGACGUCAGGGCAGCUGGAGGUGACUGUUUCAGCCACCGCGUCCCAAUCGGGGGUUCGGAGGAACGCGCGGUGGAGCGCGUGCCAUCUCUCACGGUAUGCUUCGAUGAGUACCAGAGCCUCGUCGCGUGUCCAGCACGGCGGUGGAAACUUCCUUGCAGUUUUUUGUCCGGUAGAAGACAUUGCGGUGGUGAGCUUGAGCGACGGCGCACGUUAGCAGGUAAACGAUGGUUUUUUGUGUGGUGAUUUUGUGUGAACGACGGCGCACGUUAGCAAGUUAACGGUGCCUCUUUGCAGUGGUGAGUUUGAGGGACGGCGCACGUUAGCAACUUAACGGUGGCAUUUUUCGGUGGUGAGUUUGGGCGACGGCGUACGUUAGUUGAGGUAUUGGUGCACGUUAGCAAGUUAACGGUGGUUGGAACGGUGGUGGUAGGUGUGGCGGCGGAGGGGAUAUGAUAUUAUAGUGAGGGGGUGGGGGUGAGGUGGGUAAAUAUAAUGGAAAAGUGGGGGUGGAUAGGGGGACGGUGGGUGAUAAUGACGAUGGGGUUGGGUGAGGCUAGAGUGCACGGAGUGGUGACGUACAGACGGUUCGGAUCAUCAAGAGUCCACCGGGCUACCAUCAAAUGAUGGAGCCAAUAGGGUCACGGGCACAGUGGUUUGGGGUGGUGUGUGCAACUGCACCCUACCGUAUCAGACGUUUUCUUUUGGGACAAAGUUGGGUGGUCCGGCUUUUGACUUAUUUGAUUCGGGUUGUAUAAACAUAUUAGAGUAAAUUACACAGAUUGUCCUUUAAUUACACCUUAAAUUGUAGUCCCUGCUUUUUGCCUUUAAUUUGUGCAUUCCAUGUCUU